rnacentral:rRNA from 1 species
CCUUGGCACUGGGAGCCGAUGAAGGACGUAGGAGGCUGCGAUAAGCCUCGGGGAGCUGUCAACCGAGCGUUGAUCCGAGGAUGUCCGAAUGGGGAAACCCGGCACGAGUGAUGUCGUGUCACCAGGCGCUGAAUAUAUAGGCGUCUGGGGGGAACGCGGGGAAGUGAAACAUCUCAGUACCCGUAGGAAGAGAAAACAAAAUGUGAUUCCGUGAGUAGUGGCGAGCGAAAGCGGAGGAUGGCUAAACCGUAUGCAUGUGAUACCGGGUAGGGGUUGUGUGUGCGGGGUUGUGGGACCUAUCUUUCCGGCUCUACCUGGCUGGAGGGCAGUGAGAAAAUGUUGUGGUUAGCGGAAAUGGCUUGGGAUGGCCUGCCGUAGACGGUGAGAGCCCGGUACGUGAAAACCCGACGUCUGUCUUGAUGGUGUUCCCGAGUAGCAGCGGGCCCGUGGAAUCUGCUGUGAAUCUGCCGGGACCACCCGGUAAGCCUGAAUACUUCCCAGUGACCGAUAGCGGAUUAGUACCGUGAGGGAAUGGUGAAAAGUACCCCGGGAGGGGAGUGAAAGAGUACCUGAAACCGUGCGCUUACAAUCCGUCAGAGCCCUCGACGUGUCGUGGGGUGAUGGCGUGCCUUUUGAAGAAUGAGCCUGCGAGUCAGGGACAUGUCGCGAGGUUAACCCGGGUGGGGUAGCCGCAGCGAAAGCGAGUCUGAAUAGGGCGUAUCCACACAAGAGUGUGUGGUGUAGUGGUGUGUUCUGGACCCGAAGCGGAGUGAUCUACCCAUGGCCAGGGUGAAGCGCGGGUAAGACCGCGUGGAGGCCCGAACCCACUUAGGUUGAAGACUGAGGGGAUGAGCUGUGGGUAGGGGUGAAAGGCCAAUCAAACUCCGUGAUAGCUGGUUCUCCCCGAAAUGCAUUUAGGUGCAGCGUCGCAUGUUUCUUGCCGGAGGUAGAGCUACUGGAUGGCCGAUGGGCCCCACAGGGUUACUGACGUCAGCCAAACUCCGAAUGCCGGUAAGUCCAAGAGUGCGGCAGUGAGACGGCGGGGGAUAAGCUCCGUGCGUCGAGAGGGAAACAGCCCAGAUCGCCGGCUAAGGCCCCUAAGCGUGUGCUAAGUGGAAAAGGAUGUGCAGUCGCGAAGACAACCAGGAGGUUGGCUUAGAAGCAGCCACCCUUGAAAGAGUGCGUAAUAGCUCACUGGUCAAGUGAUUGUGCGCCGAUAAUGUAGCGGGGCUCAAGCACACCGCCGAAGCCGCGGCAGCCAACGUGUUGGCUGGGUAGGGGAGCGUCCUGCAUCCGGUGAAGCCGCCGAGUGAUCGAGUGGUGGAGGGUGUGGGAGUGAGAAUGCAGGCAUGAGUAGCGAUUAGGCAAGUGAGAACCUUGCCCGCCGAAAGACCAAGGGUUCCUGGGCCAGGCCAGUCCGCCCAGGGUGAGUCGGGACCUAAGGCGAGGCCGACAGGCGUAGUCGAUGGACAACGGGUUGAUAUUCCCGUACCCGUGUAUGUGCGUCCAUGAUGAAUCAGCGGUACUAACCAUCCAAAACCACCGUGACCGCACCUUUCGGGGUGUGGCGUUGGUGGGGCUGCAUGGGACCUUCGUUGGUAGUAGUCAAGCGAUGGGGUGACGCAGGAAGGUAGCCGUACCGGUCAGUGGUAAUACCGGGGUAAGCCUGUAGGGAGUCAGAUAGGUAAAUCCGUCUGGCAUAUAUCCUGAGAGGUGAUGCAUAGCCGAGUGAGGCGAAUUCGGUGAUCCUAUGCUGCCGAGAAAAGCCUCUAGCGAGGACAUACACGGCCCGUACCCCAAACCAACACAGGUGGUCAGGUAGAGAAUACUAAGGCGUACGAGUGAACUAUGGUUAAGGAACUCGGCAAAAUGCCCCCGUAACUUCGGGAGAAGGGGGACCCACAUGGCGUGUAAGCCUUUACGGCCCAAGCGUGAGUGGGUGGCACAAACCAGUGAGAAGCGACUGUUUACUAAAAACACAGGUCCGUGCGAAGUCGCAAGACGAUGUAUACGGACUGACGCCUGCCCGGUGCUGGAAGGUUAAGAGGACCCGUUAACUCCCUUUGGGGGUGAAGCGGAGAAUUUAAGCCCCAGUAAACGGCGGUGGUAACUAUAACCAUCCUAAGGUAGCGAAAUUCCUUGUCGGGUAAGUUCCGACCUGCACGAAUGGCGUAACGACUUCUCAACUGUCUCAACCAUAGACUCGGCGAAAUUGCACUACGAGUAAAGAUGCUCGUUACGCGCGGCAGGACGAAAAGACCCCGGGACCUUCACUACAACUUGGUAUUGGUGCUCGAUACGGUUUGUGUAGGAUAGGUGGGAGACUGUGAAGCUCACACGCCAGUGUGGGUGGAGUCGUUGUUGAAAUACCACUCUGAUCGUAUUGGGCCUCUAACCUCGGACCGUAUAUCCGGUUCAGGGACAGUGCCUGGUGGGUAGUUUAACUGGGGCGGUUGCCUCCUAAAAUGUAACGGAGGCGCCCAAAGGUUCCCUCAGAAUGG